AUCCGCCAGAAAAUUACGGGCAAAAGCCUAAAACUCAAAAGACUUGACGGUGUCCCACUCUACCUAGAGGAGCCUGUUUCAUAAUCGAUAAUCCCCGAUAAACCAAACCACUUUUAGAACCUAUCAGCCUAUAUACCGCCGUCACCAGCCUACCUCUUAAAGAAUUAAAGUAAGCUAAAUAAUAAAAUAUAAAUAAGUCAGGUCAAGGUGUAGCAUAUAAACUGGAGAAAAUGGGCUACAUUAUUUAUACUAAAUAACACGAAACAUAACACUGAAAAAGUAUAAGAAGGCGGAUUUAGCAGUAAUUUAAACAAGAGUAUUUAAAUUAA
rnacentral:rRNA from 1 species